AUUGAACGCUGGCGGCAGGCUUAACGCAUGCAAGUCGAGCGGUAACAGAGAGAAGCUUGCUUCUCUGCUGACGAGCGGCGGACGGGUGAGUAAUGCCUAGGAAUCUGCCUAGUAGUGGGGGAUAACUUGCCGAAAGGUAAGCUAAUACCGCAUACGUCCUACGGGAGAAAGGAGGGGACCUUCGGGCCUUUCGCUAUUAGAUGAGCCUAGGUCGGAUUAGUUAGUUGGUGAGGUAAUGGCUCACCAAGACCGCGAUCCGUAACUGGUCUGAGAGGAUGAUCAGUCACACUGGAACUGAGACACGGUCCAGACUCCUACGGGAGGCAGCAGUGGGGAAUAUUGGACAAUGGGGGGAACCCUGAUCCAGCCAUGCCGCGUGUGUGAAGAAGGUCUUAGGAUUGUAAAGCACUUUAAGUUGGGAGGAAGAGCAGUUAACUAAUAUUUGACUGUUUUGACGUUACCGACAGAAUAAGCACCGGCUAACCUCGUG
rnacentral:rRNA from 1 species